AUACAAACUCUGUAUGAUGGAGCAGGUUUCAUUCAGUUCGAAGUACUAUUAAUGUAAUAAUUUCUUUAUUCAACUAUAUAUGUAUUAAUAUUAAAUUUUAGCAGUAAAAUAACUUACAGAUUGGUCUGGGCCUUACGUGAAGAUGACGGAAAAAAAAUGUAAAGCCAGAGUUCUGGGUGAAGGAACUAAGAGAUUGCGGUAUGUCGGUUCGUCCUAUAAACUCCUUUUGGCGGAUAAAGACGAUUUCGACUUCAUUUUAGGAUAUGAGCUAAUUGAAAUCCAAGAUUUUACCCCCUACCCUCAGAGUUUCAGCUUUCGAUUUCGGUCGGCUAUGACUUCCAGCUUAUCCCUUCUCAGAAUAAGCUCUAAACUACUCAAACUGUUAGCUCUCUCAAGGAUUCCCAGACACCUGCUGCCAUCCAUUACCGUUGGCUUCUGCAGGAGGAUAAAUUUCAUAAAUUAGCUAAUUCCAUAAUCCAUGACCUUCAAGAAAAAUACUUGAGGCAAGUAAGAUUUGCUGAUUUUGGAACUUUUCUUUCCUUCAUUUUGUGAGGUUUAACACAUUGCCUUGCAAUUGUUAGAAUGAAGUAUUGACACUAAAACUUGGGGAUUUGGUCACCUAUGUGUUGACUAAACAGAUCCCUGAUCGACAAAUUUGGUUAUCUUCACCACUAAGCGGUCCAUCCAGGUUCGAAUGAUAGUUUGUUUUGUGAGUUUGGAUGGGCGGAGCGGUACGUUUAGUUUAGUUUAUUUUUUAUCUCAUGCUACAAUAUCGCUACAAUAUCUAAUAUCACCGUCACUGCUAUUUUUAAAUUAAUAGUAGGUAAACGCAUUGCCCAUCCAAACCCAUCAAGUUCGAAUGAUAGUUUGCCUAGUUCUGAUGUUGAUGUUGGAAGCAUUUAUCGCCAUUGAAGGAGGGUUUGCCUGCAACAAGAUAUCUUUCUACAUUUUUCUUAAACCCCAUCUUUGGAUGUAUGGAUUUUUUAUAAAAAGAAAUACAACGUCAGCGGUAGAACAUCACAAGGAUACAAUUUUUAGUAUUGGAACCCACAUUUUGUGUUUCGCAGUGAACAUCGAUAAGCCAAAUAUUGGGUUCUCUUUGGAGAUAACAGCGUAUCUAUAAAUUAAUAAAAUAAAUCCCAAAAUAGUGAAUUAAACUCAA